UCUUUCAGUAGGGACGAAGCGGAAGUGACGGUACCUACAGAAGAAGCACCGGCCAACUACGUGCCAGCAGCCGCGGUAAUACGUAGGGUGCAAGCGUUGUCCGGAAUUAUUGGGCGUAAAGAGCUCGUAGGCGGUCUGUCGCGUCGGCUGUGAAAACCCGGAGCUCAACUCCGGGCCUGCAGUCGAUACGGGCAAACUGGAGUACUGCAGGGGAGACUGGAAUUCCUGGUGUAGCGGUGAAAUGCGCAGAUAUCAGGAGGAACACCGGUGGCGAAGGCGGGUCUCUGGGCAGUAACUGACGCUGAGGAGCGAAAGCGUGGGGAGCGAACAGGAUUAGACACCCUGGUAGUCCACGCCGUAAACGUUGGGCGCUAGGUGUGGGGGCCAUUCCACGGUCUCCGCGCCGCAGCUAACGCAUUAAGCGCCCCGCCUGGGGAGU
rnacentral:rRNA from 1 species